UUGCUGUCCAGCCAUAUGUGCUUGUGACAAUACAGCAUGGAGACGUCACCAAUCAGUUUGACACAACCACCUUUUCAACUUUUUUCUUCAAUAUGUCUUUCAUGAUUUUUCAGAGGUUCUCAAACUUUGUUUUUUUUUUCCUCUUCCUGUUUCUUUUUCUCUUCUUCACCUUUGGCAUCCUGGUGCUGCUGUAUUGUGGACCCUGUGCAGUCUCUUAGCCAAGAUGCCUGAGGAAACCCAGACCCAAGAUCAACCGAUGGAGGAGGAGGAGGUUGAGAUGUUCGCCUUUCAGGCAGAAAUUGCCCAGUUGAUGUCACUGAUCAUCAAUACUUUCUACUCAAACAAAGAGAUCUUUCUGAGAUAGUUCAUUUCAAAUUCAUCAGAUGCAUUGGACAAACUCUGGUAUGAAAGCUUGACGGAUCCCAGUAAAUUAGACUCUGGGAAAGAGCUGCAUAUUAACCCUGCUCGUGCAGAUAUCUCUAUGAUUGUCCAGUUCUGUGUUGGUUUUUAUUUUGCUUAUUUGGUUGCUGAGAAAGUAAAUGUGAUCACCAAACAUAAUGAUGAUGAGCAGUAUGCCUGGGAGUCCUCAGCAGUGUGAAUAAUCAUUCACAGUGAGAACAGACACAGGUGAACCUAUGGGUUGUGGAACAAAGGUUAUCCUACACCAGAAGGAAGACCAAACUGAGUACUUGGAGGAAUGAAGAACAAAGGAGAUUGUGAAGAAACAUUCUCAGUUUAGUGGAUAUCCCAUUAUUCUUGUUGUGGAGAAGAAAUGUGAUAAAGAAGUCAGCGAUGAUGAGGCUGAAGAAAAGGAACACAAAGUAGAAGAAAAAGAAAAAGAAGAGAAAGAGUCUGAAGACAAACCUGAAAUUAAAGAUGUUGGUUCUGAUGAGGAAGAAGAAAAGAAGGAUGGUGACAAGAAGAAGAGGAGGAAGAUUAAGGAAAAGUACAUAAAUCAAGAACUCAACAAAACAAAGACCAUCUGGACCAGAAAUCCCAGUGAUAUUACUAAUGAGGAGUACGGAGAAUUCUACAAGAGCUUGACCAAUGACGGGGAAGAUCACUUGACAGUGAAGCAUCUUUCAGUUGAAGGACUGUUGGAAUUCAGAGUCCUUCUAUUUGUCCCACAACGUGCUCCUUUUGAUCUGACUGAAAACAGAAAGAAAAAGAACAUCAUCAAAUUGUAUGUUUUCAUCAUGGAUAACUGUGAGGAGCUAAUCCCUGAAUAUCUGAACUUCAUUAGAAGGGUGGUAGACUUGGAGGAUCUCCCUCCAAAUAUUUCCCAUGAGAUGUUGCAACAAAGCAAAAUUUUGAAAGUUAUCAGGAAGAAUUUGGUCAAAAAAUGCUUAUAACUCUUUCCUGAACUGGCAGAAGAUAAAGAGAACUACAAGAAGUUCUAUGAGCAGUUCUCUAAAAACAUAAAGCUUGGAAUACACGAAGACUCUCAAAAUCAGAAGAAGCUUUCAGAGCUAUUAAGUUACUACACAUCUGCCUCUGGUGAUGAGAUGGGUUCUCUCAAGGACUGCUGCACCAGAAUGAAGGAAAACCAGAAACAUAUCUAUUAUAUCACAGGUGAGACCAAGGACCAGGUAGCUAACUCAGCCUUUGUGGAAAGUCUUUGGAAACAUGGCUUAGAAGUGAUCUAUAUGAUCGAGCCCAUUGAUGAAUACUGUGUCCGACAGCUGAAGGAAUUUGAGGGGAAGACUUUAGUGUCAGUCACCAAAGAGGGCUUGGAAGUUCAAUUUUUUUAA